rnacentral:rRNA from 1 species
GAUGAACGCUGGCGGCGUGCCUAAUACAUGCAAGUCGAGCGAACGGACGAGAAGCUUGCUUCUCUGAUGUUAGCGGCGGACGGGUGAGUAACACGUGGAUAACCUACCUAUAAGACUGGGAUAACUUCGGGAAACCGGAGCUAAUACCGGAUGAUAUUUUGAACCGCAUGGUUCAAAAGUGAAAGACGGUCUUGCUGUCACUUAUAGAUGGAUCCGCGCUGCAUUAGCUAGUUGGUAAGGUAACGGCUUACCAAGGCAACGAUGCAUAGCCGACCUGAGAGGGUGAUCGGCCACACUGGAACUGAGACACGGUCCAGACUCCUACGGGAGGCGGCAGUAGGGAAUCUUCCGCAAUGGGCGAAAGCCUGACGGAGCAACGCCGCGUGAGUGAUGAAGGUCUUCGGAUCGUAAAACUCUGUUAUUAGGGAAGAACAUAUGUGUAAGUAACUGUGCACAUCUUGACGGUACCUAAUCAGAAAGCCACGGCUAACUACGU